rnacentral:misc_RNA from 1 species
GAUGAAGAACGCAGCGAAAUGCGAUAAGUAAUGUGAAUUGCAGAAUUCAGUGAAUCAUCGAAUCUUUGAACGCACAUUGCGCCCGCCAGUAUUCUGGCGGGCAUGCCUGUUCGAGCGUCAUUUCAACCAUCAAGCCCCAGGCUUGUGUUGGGGACCUGCGGCUGCCGCAGGCCCUGAAAACCAGUGGUGGGCUCGCUGUCACACCGGGCGUAGUAGAUUUUAUCUCGCUCAGGGCGUGCUGCGGGUCCCGGCCGUUAAAAGCCUUUUUUUACCCAAGGUUGACCUCGGAUCAGGUAGGAAGACCCGCUGAACUUAAGCAUAUCAAUAAGCGGAGGA